CUUGGUCAUUUAGAGGAAGUAAAAGUCGUAACAAGGUUUUCGUAGGUGAACCUGCGGAAGGAUCAUUAGUGAAACAUAGAGUGCUCUUCAUUGAGGCUCGUUUAACUAUCCAUUACACUUUGUGAACUUGAACCUACUUUCAAAACAAAAGGACUUUGGGUCUUUGCGUUUUGAUUGUAACACACAAAACCCCUUUGCUUAACAAGUGAUGAUGAUGUAUCAUGAUUUGAAAUGAAAGAAACAACUUUCAGCAACGGAUGUCUUGGCUCUCGCAUCGAUGAAGAACGCAGCGAAAUGCGAUACGUAAUGUGAAUUGCAGAACUCAGUGAAUCAUCGAAUUUUUGAACGCACCUUGCGCUCUUUAGUUAUUCUGAAGAGCAUGCUUGUUUGAGUGUCGCGAACCUCUCAACCCCGCCAAAGGCUUGAGUGACUUUGGUUGUUUGGGCUUGGAUCAUGGUCUAUGUCGCUGCCUUUUUGGCUUCGACUUGACUGAAAUACAACAAGUUGAAUGGUUUCAUUUGCAGCUUGACCUGAUGUUGCAAUACACUCAUCGGGGAUGCAAUGAACACUAAAGGAACUUUAACAAAAUCUCAUUAGUGCUUCUAAAGUGCAUUUAUGACCUCAAAUCAAGCAGGACUACCCGCUGAACUUAAGCAUAUCAAUAAGCGGAGGA
rnacentral:rRNA from 1 species